UACGUAGGGUGCAAGCGUUGUCCGGAUUUAUUGGGCGUAAAGAGCUCGUAGGCGGCUUGGCAAGUCGGGUGUGAAAACUUCAGGCUCAACCUGGAGAUGCCACCCGAGACUGCUAUGGCUUGAGUCCGGUAGGGGACCACGGAAUUCCUGGUGUAGCGGUGAAAUGCGCAGAUAUCAGGAGGAACACCGGUGGCGAAGGCGGGUCUCUGGGCCGAUACUGACGCUGAGGAGCGAAAGCGUGGGGAGCGAACAGG
rnacentral:rRNA from 1 species